rnacentral:rRNA from 1 species
AACGAACGCUGGCGGCAGGCUUAACACAUGCAAGUCGAGCGCCCCGCAAGGGGAGCGGCAGACGGGUGAGUAACGCGUGGGAAUCUACCCAUCUCUACGGAAUAACGCAUGGAAACGUGUGCUAAUACCGUAUACGUCCUUCGGGAGAAAGAUUUAUCGGAGAUGGAUGAGCCCGCGUUGGAUUAACUAGUUGGUGGGGUAAAGGCCUACCAAGGCGACGAUCCAUAGCUGGUCUGAGAGGAUGAUCAGCCACACUGGGACUGAGACACGGCCCAGACUCCUACGGGAGGCAGCAGUGGGGAAUAUUGGACAAUGGGCGCAAGCCUGAUCCAGCCAUGCCGCGCGAGUGAUGAAGGCCCUAGGGUUGUAAAGCUCUUUCACCGGUGAAGAUAAUGACGGUAACCGGAGAAGAAGCCCCGGCUAACUUCGUGCCAGCAGCCGCCGUAAGAC